AUUGUGUUUAUUAGCUCAACUAAGCUUUAAUACCAAUGAAAAAUUACUUGAGAAACUUGGUUUAACUACAAUUAUAUUAGUGUAGGUUCUAGUAAAAAGAGGUAUUGACUUAAUGUUUCAAGCUUAAAAAGAAAAAAAAAACCUCAUUCUCCGAGUUCUCACUCUUCCUCGUGUCAUUAGCCCAAAAACCCAGAACAACACUCCGUCUCAUUCGUGUCAAGCAAGAGUUCUCUAAGAUUUUGAGUUGUCAAUUGCAAUUCUCUUAAAAAGCUUCUCAAUAUCACAUUUUACUUUCAUAAAUUUAGCAACUUGAUAAUCCAAAAUUCAUCUUCACUUUCGAAUUGGUUAAAGAACCAAACUCUUAAUUUUUUUUCUAUCUCUUCUGGGUUUGGGUUUGUUGUUUCGUCUGCGGCUACUUGUGUUGCUUGCCGGCGUUGCAGCUGUUGUUAUUCCGUCACUUUUCUCUCUUAUUUUCGGGUCUGUUGUGGUUGAUUCUUCGGCGAGCUGCGAAUGUCUCUGCUCCCAAGUUAUUUUCUCUCUCUCAACUCUAUUGGUUGUCGCUGCUAUGGUGGUGCGAUCACCAUCGGUGUUGUUGUGCGUUGGUAUCGUUAUGGGUGUGUGUCGAGGCUUGAUGUAGAGCGAAAUAGAGAGUUGGUUAUGAAUUUGUAAUUAAAUUAAUGAUUCAGAGGUUGUAUUUAGGAGUAUAUAUCCUUAUUUGAGAAUAAAAUAUUAUAUUAUUUUGGGAAUCGAGUAAGGUAUUAUGUAAUAUGGUAUUUGGUUCGAAGAUAAUUUGUUGUGGGCCCUAACCCACAUGUCCAGGAUCAUUUUAUAGAUUAUGUUUCCGCCG